ACGAAGGGGGCUAGCGUUGCUCGGAAUUACUGGGCGUAAAGGGCGCGUAGGCGGACAUUUAAGUCAGAGGUGAAAGCCCAGGGCUCAACCUUGGAAUUGCCUUUAAGACUGCAUCGCUUGAACAUCGGAGAGGUAAGUGGAAUUCCGAGUGUAGAGGUGAAAUUCGUAGAUAUUCGGAAGAACACCAGUGGCGAAGGCGACUUACUGGACGAUUGUUGACGCUGAGGUGCGAAAGCGUGGGGAGCAAACAGGA
rnacentral:rRNA from 1 species